GAUGAACGCUAGCUACAGGCUUAACACAUGCAAGUCGAGGGACCGGCGCACGGGAGAGUAACACGUAUCCCACCUGCCCUUUACUCGGGGAUAGCCUUUCGAAAGAACGAUUAAUACCCGAUAUAAAGGAUGGGGAUGCGUUCCAUUAGGUGGUUGGUGAGGUAACGGCAAACCAAGCCUUCGAUGGUUAGGGGUUCGGAGGGGAAGCUACCCCAGAUUGGAACUGCGACCCAGUCCAAACUCGUACGGAAGACAGCAGUAAAGAGUAUUGGUCAAUGAUCGUUAGCCUGAACCAGCCAAGUAGCGUGAAGAAUGAAGGCGUAUGAAUCGUAAACUUCUUAUAUAUAAGAAUAUGUAUUAUAUGAAGAAGCAUCGGCUAACUCCGUGCCAGCCGCCGCGGUAAUAC
rnacentral:rRNA from 1 species